GCCCUGUGGUUACUGGACACUGUUGUCUCAAUACAGUGCUUCAGUUAGUAGAAAUGGGCCAAAAGUAAUACUUUGACUUAUGCAUGGAGUCUGAUACUUGAGCAGUCUCUAUAGCCCGGUCAUUGUUACACUU